CUCUGGCAGCCACCUGCCAGACUAGCCAAGCCUGCCUAACUUCUGCUCACCUCAGCUUAAACGUCACUUCCUCAGAGAUACCUUCCCUUCACCUGCUGCAGCUCUCACUUACCUCCUGGGCUCCCCACGAGCUGCAGAGAAGUUCUGCACGAGAACAUUUCUAGCAUCCUGGGAAAUCGCUGAGUUGUUUGCGUUAUCCUGUCUUCACUCACCUCAGAUCACAAGUAGAGAGCAAGGAAGCCGGAGACCCUCAAGGUUUAGGAUUCCAAGGUUCAGUGUGCGCCUGACUGCUCAGCUGGGAGUUUCCUUUGCUUUUAUGGAUUUCAAGUGAGGGAAAUGAGGUCACUUGUCAAGAAAUGUACAUUUUCUCAGAAAACAUUGUUGCAAUGGAAGCAGCAAGGCAUAAAACAGAACCCAGGAACUGUUGAAAAGCUAUCACCCACCCUGUCUGAGCCUCAGUUCACUCACUUGUAUCCAGAAGCCUCAACAGAUAAUUGAAUAAUUAAGUGAAAUCAUCUGUUCGCUGGAGGACACAGCCCUGCCAUCUCUACAGUCCUUCACCAGGCUUUCCCCAGCCCCCAGCUCCAGCCUCAGGAAGUGGAGCUGCUGAGAAUCUCUCCUCCAGCCUCGCCUCCUGCCGAGAGUGUCCUCUGCGUGAGCAUUUCCUGGCCUAAUUAAGCUGGGUAAUGAGUAGCUAAGAGGGAGGGGAUAAAAGCCCUAGGCGGCUUAGAGCUGGGACAGUUUAUGACAGGGGCGUCUGCAGCUGGUGACACUCUUAGGAAAGUUAUUUCUCAUAACCUGGGAAGUUGCAUGCUGUUUCCAUAGCACAGUGAGCCCCAAGGUAAGCACAGGGUAUAUUGCACUUAAGAGGGACCAGCUGGAGGGUCCUGAGAGGGUCCUGAGUGGUGUGGUACUGGGGGGGGGUCUGAGAAAAGGACUGAUCCCAGCUGUGGAGCAGUCCUGAGCCGCCCAGGCUAAUGCCCUUGGCUUAGCCCCAGGCCGGGGUGUCCUUGGUGACCACGUGUGACUCCCCAGGGCUGGGGUUUUAUGUUUCAUUUGAAUGAUAGGACUGUGCACUGUGGGCAGUUUCCUAAGACCGUGUCCGCCCCGAGUAAGGAAAUCUGAGCCAGACGCUGAUCCUGACUCCCCUCAGUCCUCUUUUAAGGUGCCCAAUAUUGUGUCCUGGAAAAUACCAAGCGCCCAGCAGCCAAGCAGGAGCCCUGGGGGACUGGGGAAGGCUGACAGCAGCCUGGCCUUUCAGAGACCUUCAAAGGCCAAAAGUUGACUGUUUCCACUUCCAACCUCUGCCUCAAGAACCCAACUCCACAACCACAGCCUGUGUACCUUGGCACCGUGUCUAUUUCAUUUGUUUAAAUCACUUUGCACUGAGGCAUUAGUUGGCCACCCCCCACCCCGCACCCCCUGCUCUGGUGUGUGAGGGGGAGGCAGUGUGUUGGGGCCUGGGUCUUGGAGUAGGUUUCAUCACUAGAACAAGGGUUUCCCCCUGUACAAUCAGGGCUUUGGCGAUGCCUAGCCUGCAAUGUGCUAUGAGCGCACAACCUCCACUGUCCAUGAGUGGGGGGAAUUGCCAAAACGUGGCCACAUUUCCCAGGCCUUUCAAAUUAGGGGACAGUAUGUGCACUUUUACACCCAGGAGCAACUUGCUCUGAUUAUCAGUGUAGAGAAGAGCUGUACCCAGUGAAUGUUACUGAUGAUGGAAGAGCUCAGCCUUCCUCCUGCACUCCAAAAUCGCUAUUUUGAACUUUUCUAAUUUUCUUUCUUUUUUUUUAAGUAGGCUCCAUGCCCAAUGUGGGCCUUGAACUCAAGAUCAAGAGUCAUAUGCUCUACCAACUAAGCCAGCCAGGUGCCCCUUGAUCCUUUCUAAUUUUCUGAAGAAGACUGUUUCAGGCCAUGUCCUCAUAACCCCACUUCCUCUUGGUGGCCAGAGCUCAGGGCCCACAGCUACAGGAAAUUUGCAGAGUCCCUCCUUUUUUUUGUUUCUCUUCACUCUCUCCCCUUUGCUGUUCUCAUAAUCUUAUCUACCCUCUUGGCCUGCUUCUCUUUCUUUUUAACCCAUUUUUUAUUGAGAUAUAAUUAACAUAUAAUUUGUAUGAGUUUAAGAUAUAAAAAAACGGUUUGCUCCAUGUAUAUAUUGUGAAAUGCUUCUCUUUCCAAAGGAGAAUGGUCAGAUCACAAAUAACCUGGUGUCUCCCAUCUUUCCCUCCUGCUGUAGUUGUCCUUGGAAUGGAAGGAGACUUGGUGGCCAGACGCCUGACUGGGGAGGGCAGGUCUGAGCUGCACCCCCCUCCUCUGCAAGGACGCCUGGGACUCUCAGAAUUCUGAAAGGGGGGUUCUGGAGUUCAGAAGAGCGGAGAGCAGGCCUGGUGGCUUUCACUGUGACCUGACCACCCUGCACUGGGUGGCCAAGCCCAGAAGUCUCUGGCAUCCUCCAGCCCUGCAGCAGCUGGGCAGGCCCUGAGAGCCAACUUACUCGGAAUGUGUAAUCCUGGUUAAAAAGAGAAAGGGGGAAAGAUCUUGUAAUUUCCCAGGACACAGACAAUUGAAACCUUAUACUCUUGUCAAGGGAGUCCUUUCACUAAGAGAGGCAGGGAGAGACAGGGAGAGGGAGGAAGAAGGCAAAGGAGGAAGGAAGGAAGGUGUGAGAGAGGCCAUUCGGGACCCAGCACUGGGCCCAGCUAGGCCAUGAGUGCUCCGUGUGUCACCUACCCCAGUCAUUGGCCUGAUGCUGACUCUUGAGGAGAGCUGAGAGAAGAGGUCUACUGUGUGUGAGAGCAGCAGUGCCCGUGGCUUUUACACACCUGCCAUCCCCCUCUGUCCUCUCUCCUUUGGAGCCUCUGUCCCUUCUCCAGAGGACCAGCAGCUCCUCCUUGCCUUCCCUGCCUUUUGUGGGAGGGGGGUCAAAUGCAGUUGAUAAAAAUGCACAAAGGCCUUCAACACACCAAUAAGCAGUUCUUUCCUUCUUUCAUCCAGCAAAUAGUCAUUGAUCAAUUGGAUGAAUGAAAGAAAUACUAUUCCAUGCAGUCAAAUGCAUGGUCAGGGAGGAAAACCAGUCCAACCUGACUUGGAAGGGUCCUGGUUGCUCACCCUUUUUCAACUACAAAGGAUUGCAGGUGUUUAUCGGGCUAAAACCACAGAAAUUUAGGGAGGCUGCUUUGGGACAAGCUCUGUGCUAAGUGUGGUUUGGGAGACACUGACAUAUAUGGCAAAGCAUCUGUCCGUGAGGUAUAGCAUGCCAUCUGGCUGGAACAGCAAGGCCGUGAGCCCAAACAACUGGGGAACAAUAUACAAGGAAGUCCAAUAUAGAGCCCAAAGGUGUGAUAGGGCCAGGGAAUGGCCCCACAGGUCAGUUCUUUUGUAUCUUACAGAGAAGGCUUUUUUAAGGUGAAAAUUCCUAAUGUCACUCUCUGAGUCAGCAGUGGUUUGUUGAGCUCCCAUGGUGUGCCCAGUACUGGCCCAGGCACUGGUGAUACAGCUGCGAACACAACAAACUCGCCACCCUGGAGGAGCUCACCCUACAAGACUUGACUUCAUUCUCAUCCAUGCACUUUUGUAUUUCACAGUUCAUUCAUUCAUUUACUCAUGUGCCAUCCUUACUCAAAAAGGAAUUAAGGUAGUUUAUAAUUAAUGGAUAAAACCAAAAACCAAAAACCAGAUUAACAGUUGAGGUCCAGGCUGUAAAGGAAGCUAGGGCAAGAGAAUAGUUAUACCAGACAACCUAGAUUCAGGGAAGUGUGUAACACUGAGCCUAAAAAUCAGCUCUGAGCUGCCUGGUGGUUGUGUCAAAAAGGGAAAUAGCGUGUCUGAUAAAAGAAGUAU